GAGGGCGACAGUGGAGGCGGGAAGCCCUGGUUCAGUAAUGGCUUCCUUGUUUGUUGGCUCUCAAAGUCUCAACAGCACAAAGUCAGCGGUCAUAUCUUCACACUUUGGAAAAUAUACUUCAUUUCAUUAGGAGGCACUCAGUCAACAACCUCAACUUGGUAGUCAUGUGACCAAAGGUGAUUACCUACAUUCAGGGAGACGGUGUAAAAUAACGGCAGCAGGUGGGAGUGCGGGUGACACGGCGGUGGUGUUGAAGCAGACCUGCUGGGCCGAGAGCAGGUCGACGGUGUUCUUCUGUGGAGCGCAGGAACCAGCACCAAGACCACGGGACUACUUGCUGGGACUAUGUCCUGUUUGUCGCAGGGAGUGAAGACGUGGACUGAAGGGCCCCCCGCCUGCUCUGAUGGAAAGUGUCUGCUGGCUCUGAUGUCCUGCUCUGACAGGUUUGGCUGCAUGGACACAAGUAGAGUUGGUUAACAUCACAGCACACUUCCGGUGGAAUGUUGAGGUAAAUCACCGAUUUGAGCAGAGUGGGCCCUCCUGGCUGUAGUCUUGAAUCUGACCACUUCUUUGAUGCGCUCCACUUCCUGUUGGUAACGCUUGCGGUCCCUCACAGCCGCCUCCUUGGCGCCCCUCAGGGAACUCUCCAGAGCUUUCACUCUUUCCACGGUUGCCCGGAAGCGUUUUUCUAACUUGGGCAGCUCACAGCGAAGAUCAGCAUUGUCACCCACAAGCUAUGGAAGAUCACAAUCUUUGAAUAAUGAUUGAAAAACAAAAGACAUUCCCGGGCGUGGCCACCACUGCUGCCCGCUGCUCCCCUCACCUCCCAGUAAAUAGGUAAGUAAAGUAUACGUA